AUAGAUUGGUGCCUUCGGGAACACUGAGACAGGUGCUGCAAGGCUGUCGUCAGCUCGUGUUGUGAGAUGUUGGGUUAAGUCCCGCAACGAGCGCAACCCUUAUCCUUAGUUGCCAGCACGUAAUGGUGGGAACUCUGGGGAGACUGCCGGUGAUAAACCGGAGGAAGGUGGGGACGACGUCAAGUCAUCAUGGCCCUUACGGGAUGGGCUACACACGUGCUACAAUGGCGCGUACAAAGGGCAGCGAACCUGCGAAGGUAAGCGAAUCUCAUAAAGCGCGUCGUAGUCCGGAUUGGAGUCUGCAACUCGACUCCAUGAAGUCGGAAUCGCUAGUAAUCGUGGAUCAGAAUGCCACGGUGAAUACGUUCCCGGGCCUUGUACACACCGCCCGUCACACCAUGGGAGUGGGCUGCACCAGAAGUGGUUAGUUAACCUCGGGAGAAC
rnacentral:rRNA from 1 species